UAGAAUACCUGCCUGUCACGCAGGGGGUCGCGGGUUCGAGUCCCGUCCGUUCCGCCA
rnacentral:tRNA from 1 species